UGAGUACGAGACGCUAAGGCGUCGAAGUAGUGGAUGUCAUACUUCCAAGAAAAGCUUGCACUGUCAUAGAUAAAAAACGCCUGUACCAUAACCGACACAGGUGGGUAGGUAGAGUAUACUAAGGGGCGCGAGAUAACUCUCUCUAAGGAACUCGGCAAAAUGACUCCGUAACUUCGGGAGAAGGAGUGCCUUAUUCGUAAGGCUGCAAUAACAAGAUCCAAGCAACUGUUUAUCAAAAACACAGGUCUCCGCUAAGUCGUAAGACGAUGUAUGGGGGCUGACGCCUGCCCAGUGCCAGAAGGUUAAAGAAGUCGGUUAGCAUUAGCGAAGCUGGUAACUGAAGCCCUGGUGAACGGCGGCCGUAACGAUAACGGUCCUAAGGUAGCGAAAUUCCUUGUCGGGUAAGUUCCGACCCGCACGAAAGGCGUAAUGAUUUGGAUACUGUCUCGGAGAGGGGCUCGGUGAAAUAGACUUGUCUGUGAAGAUGCGGACUACCUGCACCAGGACAGAAAGACCCUAUGAAGCUUUACUGUAACUUGAAAUUGAAAUUGGACUUUAUUCGCGCAGUAUAGGUGGGAGGUGUUGAUUAUAAUCUUGCGGGAUUAUUGGAGCCAUCAGUGAGAUACCACUCUUGUAAUGUUAGAUUUCUAACUUUGAAUCAUUAUCUGGUCAAAGAACAGUUUCAGGCGGGCAGUUUGACUGGGGCGGUCGCCUCCUAAAUGGUAACGGAGGCGUACAAAGGUUUCCUCUGAACGGGUAGAAAUCGUAUCUAGAGUGUAAAGGCAUAAGGAAGCUUGACUGUGAGACCUACAAGUCGAGCAGGGACGAAAGUCGGUCUUAGUGAUCUGACGGUACUGAGUGGAAAGGCCGUCACUCAACGGAUAAAAGUUACUCUAGGAUAACAGGCUGAUCCCCCCCAAGAGUUCACAUCGACGGGGAGGUUUGGCACCUCGAUGUCGGCUCAUCGCAUCCUGGGGCGGUAGUACGUCCCAAGGGUUGGGCUGUUCGCCCAUGAAAGCGGUACGCGAGCUGGGUUCAGAACGUCGUGAGACAGUUCGGUCCAUAUCCGGUGUAGGCGUUAGAAUAUUGAGAGGAGCCUUCUUUAGUACGAGAGGACCGAGAAGGACAUACCUCUGGUGUACCAGUUAUCGUGCCAACGGUAAACGCUGGGUAGCUAUGUAUGGAGUGGAUAACCGCUGAAAGCAUCUAAGUGGGAAGCCCACCUCAAGAUAAGUAUUCUCAGC
rnacentral:rRNA from 1 species